AGCGUAAUCCCUUGCCGGGUAAGUUCCGGCCCGCAUGAAUGGCUUAACGACUUGAAGACUGUCUGAACG
rnacentral:rRNA from 1 species